rnacentral:tRNA from 1 species
GGCCUUUUAGUUUAUAGAAAAUGUUAAAUUGCAAGCUUAACGAAAGAGUGUUCUAAAGGUUU